GGGGGAGUAGCUCAGCGGUUAGAGCAGUUGGCUCAUAACCAAUUGGUGGUGGGUUCAACUCCCACCUCCCCUACCA
rnacentral:tRNA from 1 species